rnacentral:rRNA from 7 species
AGAGUUUGAUCAUGGCUCAGAUUGAACGCUGGCGGCAGGCCUAACACAUGCAAGUCGAACGGUAACAGGAAGCAGCUUGCUGCUUUGCUGACGAGUGGCGGACGGGUGAGUAAUGUCUGGGAAACUGCCUGAUGGAGGGGGAUAACUACUGGAAACGGUGGCUAAUACCGCAUAACGUCGCAAGACCAAAGAGGGGGACCUUCGGGCCUCUUGCCAUCAGAUGUGCCCAGAUGGGAUUAGCUUGUUGGUGAGGUAACGGCUCACCAAGGCGACGAUCCCUAGCUGGUCUGAGAGGAUGACCAGCCACACUGGAACUGAGACACGGUCCAGACUCCUACGGGAGGCAGCAGUGGGGAAUAUUGCACAAUGGGCGCAAGCCUGAUGCAGCCAUGCCGCGUGUAUGAAGAAGGCCUUCGGGUUGUAAAGUACUUUCAGCGGGGAGGAAGGUGUUGUGGUUAAUAACCGCAGCAAUUGACGUUACCCGCAGAAGAAGCACCGGCUAACUCCGUGCCAGCAGCCGCGGUAAUACGGAGGGUGCAAGCGUUAAUCGGAAUUACUGGGCGUAAAGCGCACGCAGGCGGUCUGUCAAGUCGGAUGUGAAAUCCCCGGGCUCAACCUGGGAACUGCAUUCGAAACUGGCAGGCUUGAGUCUUGUAGAGGGGGGUAGAAUUCCAGGUGUAGCGGUGAAAUGCGUAGAGAUCUGGAGGAAUACCGGUGGCGAAGGCGGCCCCCUGGACAAAGACUGACGCUCAGGUGCGAAAGCGUGGGGAGCAAACAGGAUUAGAUACCCUGGUAGUCCACGCCGUAAACGAUGUCUACUUGGAGGUUGUGCCCUUGAGGCGUGGCUUCCGGAGCUAACGCGUUAAGUAGACCGCCUGGGGAGUACGGCCGCAAGGUUAAAACUCAAAUGAAUUGACGGGGGCCCGCACAAGCGGUGGAGCAUGUGGUUUAAUUCGAUGCAACGCGAAGAACCUUACCUGGUCUUGACAUCCACGGAAGUUUUCAGAGAUGAGAAUGUGCCUUCGGGAACCGUGAGACAGGUGCUGCAUGGCUGUCGUCAGCUCGUGUUGUGAAAUGUUGGGUUAAGUCCCGCAACGAGCGCAACCCUUAUCCUUUGUUGCCAGCGGUCCGGCCGGGAACUCAAAGGAGACUGCCAGUGAUAAACUGGAGGAAGGUGGGGAUGACGUCAAGUCAUCAUGGCCCUUACGACCAGGGCUACACACGUGCUACAAUGGCGCAUACAAAGAGAAGCGACCUCGCGAGAGCAAGCGGACCUCAUAAAGUGCGUCGUAGUCCGGAUUGGAGUCUGCAACUCGACUCCAUGAAGUCGGAAUCGCUAGUAAUCGUGGAUCAGAAUGCCACGGUGAAUACGUUCCCGGGCCUUGUACACACCGCCCGUCACACCAUGGGAGUGGGUUGCAAAAGAAGUAGGUAGCUUAACCUUCGGGAGGGCGCUUACCACUUUGUGAUUCAUGACUGGGGUGAAGUCGUAACAAGGUAACCGUAGGGGAACCUGCGGUUGGAUCACCU